GGAUGAGAUGAACGCAAGCCUGAUCCAGCCAUGCCGCGUGAGUGAAGAAGGCCUUCGGGUUGUAAAGCUCUUUCGGCCGGGAAGAAAUCGUGUUCUCUAACAUAGGACAUGGAUGACGGUACCGGACUAAGAAGCACCGGCUAACUACGUGCCAGCAGCCGCGGUAAUACGGAGGGUCCAAGCGUUAUCCGGAAUCAUUGGGUUUAAAGGGUGCGCAGGCGGUAAAGUAAGUCAGUGGUGAAAUCUCUCG
rnacentral:rRNA from 1 species